rnacentral:snRNA from 1 species
CCUCCCAUCUUUUGUCUCCC